rnacentral:rRNA from 1 species
CGGCAGACGGGUGAGUAACGCGUGGGAACAUACCUUUUGGUUCGGAACAACACAGGGAAACUUGUGCUAAUACCGGAUAAGCCCUUACGGGGAAAGAUUUAUCGCCGAGAGAUUGGCCCGCGUCUGAUUAGCUAGUUGGUGUGGUAAAAGCGCACCAAGGCGACGAUCAGUAGCUGGUCUGAGAGGAUGAUCAGCCACAUUGGGACUGAGACACGGCCCAA